rnacentral:rRNA from 1 species
UACAGAGGCCCCAAGCGUUACUGAGAAUCACUGGGUUUAAAGGGUGCGUAGGUGGCGCGUUAAGUCCGUUGUGAAAUCCCGGGGGCUCAACCUCGGAACUGCCUUUGAUACUGCGAAUCUUGAGUCCGAUAGAGGUGGGUGGAAUUCCUAGUGUAGAGGUGAAAUUCGUAGAUAUUAGGAAGAACACCGGUGGCGAAGGCGGCCCACUGGAUCGGUACUGACGCUGAGGUGCGAAAGCGUGGGGGAGCAAACAGG